UAUUGAUUAUUUUUCUGGCCUGCUUUC
rnacentral:piRNA from 1 species